AUCCAGCUGACGAGUCCCAAAUAGGACGAAAUGC
rfam:Trichobilharzia regenti genome assembly, scaffold: TRE_scaffold0018401